UCACUACCCUAUACCUCACUACCCUAUACUAUGCUACCCUAUACUAUACUACCCUAUACUAUACUACCCUAUACCUCACUACCCUAUACCUCACUACCCUAUACUAUGCUACCCUAUACUAUACUACCCUAUACUAUGCUACCCUAUACUAUACUACCCUAUACUAUAAGCCUAAAUAAGUUCAGGAUUAAAAAUGUGUUUAGCAAGUCUCAUAACUUGCAUGGACUCACUCUGUGUGCAAUUGGAGUUUUGAUCAUGAUUUUUUUCAAUGACUACCUGACCUUUGUACCCCACACAUACAAUUAUCUGUAAGGUCCCUCAUCUCUGUACCCCACACAUACAAUUAUCUGUAAGGUCCCUCAUCUCUGUACCCCACACAUACAAUUAUCUGUAAGGUCCCUCAUCUCUGUACCCCACACAUACAAUUAUCUGUAAGGUCCCUCAUCUCUGUACCCCACACAUACAAUUAUCUGUAAGGUCCCUCAUCUCUGUACCCCACACAUACAAUUAUCUGUAAGGUCCCUCAUCUCUGUACCCCACACAUACAAUUAUCUGUAAGGUCCCUCAUCUCUGUACCCCACACAUACAAUUAUCUGUAAGGUCCCUCAUCUCUGUACCCCACACAUACAAUUAUCUGUAAGGUCCCUCAGUUGAGCAGUGAAUUUCAAACACAGAUUCAACCACAAAGACCAGAGAUGUGUUCCAAUACCUCGCAAAGAGGGGCACCUAUUGCAUCAAUGCACUAAAGUAAUACUGCCCCAAAAAAUAUUUAAGCAAUUCAUUUUUUGUCCUGAAUACAAAGUGUUAUGUUUGGGGCAAAUCCAAAACAUUUCUGAGUACUACUCUCCAUAUUUCCAAGUAUAGUGGUGGCUGCAUCAUGUUAUGAUUAUGCUUGUAAUCGUUAAGGACUGGGGAGUUUUUCAGGAUAAAAAAAAUGUAAUGGAUCUAAGCUCAGGCAAAAUCCUAGAGGAAAAUCUGGUUCAGUCUGCUUUCCACCAGACACCAACUCAACUGUCUGCAGGACAAUACCCUAAAACACAAGGCCAAAUCUUCACUGGAGUUGCUUACCAAGAAAAUAGUGAAUGUUCCUGAGUGGCCAAGUUACAGUUUUGACGUAAAUCUGCUUGAAAAUCUAUGGCAAGACCUGAAAAUGAUUGUCUAUCCAUGAUCAACAACCAAUUUGACAGAGCUUGAAGAAUUCUGAAAAUAAUCAAAUGGGCAAAUGUUCCAAAAUCCACAAAAGUGGAUAAAAUCAAGUGGCGUGAAUACUUCCUGUAUUGCUCUUCUACAUUUUCUGGGGUGUUGUUUUUUAUAUUGCUAAACAAAAAAAUCACCAGGCUAAAUGUUGCUUCCCACUAGACAAUUUGCAUCAUGGGUUUCAUAUUCCGACAUUGUCCCGAAAUUCUUGAGAAUAUCGGACUCACAUCCUGUUAUGGGAAGCGUUUUAUGAACUCGGUAUACAGGCAUCCUAGCUAAGGAUGCUGGGUACUGAUAAUCAGCUUGUAGCUUGUCACUUAUUUCCAAUAGUUUGACAACUUGCUGCUUCAUUUAAACCUGUUCUUUAUGAUAAAAUAAACUUCCUAAGUAGCUAGCUUGCUUGCUUGCUUAUGGAAUGAGCAUUGCAUUAAGUAGUUGGUUAGCUUCUCUUUCAUUUCAUAUGAAGUGACAGUCUCAGGCUUAGCUAGCUAGCUAAUGUUUUUGUGUUCAUGAUCAAAUUUGAUCAGAAAUGCAAAAACGUAGAAAUUAAUGACAGAUUUAUUACAUUUAUAAAGAUUUAUUCUGACUUUGAGGGCGACUUAGUAGUGACUGUUGUUGCUAAGUAACAUGCUAAGAUUCAUGGGAAGAAGUUGCCGCCAAGGGCGGCUAGUCCCGCACAGGAUGCCCACGCGAAAAAAAUAGGUUUUCUGAAGGGUGCAGUGGUGCCCUCUAUGAAUUGACAACUAGCGUUUGAGAUUGACUCGUUCCUGUCUUCUACUUCAAACAGUGUUAUUUCUUAUUUCAGUGUUAUUUCUUCCUUCUUUCUCUUCUCCUGUCUGCAGUCUGCUUAAAGCCCGGCUGCGUUCCGAGCUCCUGGAGCCCCUAGCAACAGAGCAGAGGAGAUGAUGCAGUACCUCUUGAGAGCCUCACCUCAACCUCACAUUCCUUUUCCCUUCAGUUUUCUCCUUCAUCCCAGUCACAAUCAGACUGGGUCUCUCUCUCUCAGGUUGUGAAACUAUCACAUUCUCCAAGCAGAGUUAAAUAAACCGAUAUUCAUUAGUCAUGUAUCAUAAACAAUAUAUUAUGACUUUAGUCUGGCUGGCUACUAUCACAAUACUCUGAAUGCCAGCCAUGGUCUACUGAUAAGGUGUUGUCAUGUUCUCAUCUUAAAUGAUAAAUUAAUGUGUUUUUUGCAUGCCAGAUUUGUUUUGUUUUUAUAAAAGUUUGCUUAAUUUGUAGCUAAUGUGUGGCAACACCAGUUUCAAACAGCAGAGGGAGGUAGAGUUCUAUUUAAUCUUGGACCGUUAGCAUAAUCUCUGAAAAUGAAACUAUGCUGCACAUACAGUGCAUCAUUUUCAAAGCUCCAUUCGUGACUUUUAUUUUUUUAGGGUUGUGUUUUGCUGAUGGUAAAAUGUGACCAAACGGCUCGAUUCGGUCUUAUUUAGCUCAAUUUGAAAAAUUGUUUUUUUUAAAUAAAUUGGAUAAAAGUAGAGACUCCGAGCUGGAAAAUGGUAUAUAAUUCACUACAGUUGAGGAACAAUGGGAAAGUAAUUCUGCUUUGAAAGUUGAUAAACGUAUAACCUCACUUUUGAGAAAAUGGCCCUUGAAUGUUUUGGUACCUACAAGAUAGAUGUUCUUUGUCUACACCCAUUCAGCAUUGUUCACACCCUCUUAAGCUUUAGCCCCACCCAUUCAGCAUUGUUCACACCCUCUUAAGCUUUAGCCCCACCCAUCUCUUUAAGGAUUCACACAUGAGGCCAUGUGCUAAACAGAGUGAGUACGCUAGUAUACUAAGCAACCAAAGAUUUCAAGACUAAUGGCUGGUUUAUACUACGGGUGUGUUCGUACAUUUAAUCUGUAGUGCCAGAGUGUGCUCUCGGCGUUUGUAAACUCAGAGUAUUGUCAGUUUGGCCGUUCGUAAACUCAGAGCGUUUCGCUCUCGUAACGUUCAGAGCGCACAUGGAUGGACGCUCUCCCACUCUGCCACAGAUAACACGGUUGCCCUCAGUUUGAAGAUGUAAUCCGGAGAGACAGGUGUUUUAUACAACAGCAUUCUGUGUGUUCUCUUUUUGACUCCGUCUUGCAUAUUUGCAAUCAAACGCCAGAAUCCUAUCAUACUCUAAUUCCUCUGAUUUCUACUGGUCGUCCAGAAAGUGGAGAGCAACACUUACGCAGUUCUACGACGCGAUAUCUUUCAAAAAAGCCACAUUAGAAAGAAUUACCUACACAUACUGACCAGCUCAUGUUGUUAUAGACAGAAGCGAGCUACAUGGCAGACCAAUGCAAACUCAUCUCAUGUCCGGCCCACUCAUUAUCUCAGCCAAUCAUGGGUAGCAGGAAGGUUGCUGGCUUUUUCUGUGGCUAAACCAACUAGGCUCGUAAUUGAAUCAAUUUAUUAAAUAUUUACAGAUGGCAUACAAGGUUGUUAUUAAGGCGUAGGAAAGGUCAUAUGUUCCAGAAGACGUAAAUGUUUAUGUUCAAAGGGCUCUCCUGUGAAGUAUUGACGCGUGACAUAGACCUAGCUUCCUGAAACGAGUCACAAAUAGAAGUUAUUGAGUUAAUGGACAAGGACACAGUCCACUUGUAGUGCAGUCAGCUUUUGGCCAACACCCAAACCUCACCGGGCCAAGUUGCGUGCAACAGCUAGCUAGCUAAAUGUCCAUGAAUGUUUCAUGUUAGUUUUUAACCUCCCCCCGAAAUGAGUUGGUUCACAGUUGGUUUUGAUAUUUUAACCUGCUUCACAUGAUCGCGUCUGGUGUGGAUGGUGCACACGUAGACCGGAGUAGUCAGCAUGUUGGCCUGAAGGUCUGGAGCUGGUCAGGAACCUAGGUUGUCUUUGAGUAGCCAGCAUGUUGGCCUGAAGGUCUGGAGCUGGUCAGGAACCUAGGUUGUCUUUGAGUAGCCAGCAUGUUGGCCUGAAGGUCUGGAGCUGGUCAGGAACCUAGGUUGUCUUUGGGUAGUCAGCAUGUUGGCCUGAAGGUCAGGAGCUGGUCAGGAAUCUAGGUUGUCUUUGAAUAGUCAGCAUGUUGGCCUGAAGGUCUGGAGCUGGUCAGGAACCUAGGAUGUCUUUGAGUAGUCAGCAUGUUGGCCUGAAGGUCUGGAGCUGGUCAGGAACCGAGGUUGUCUUUGAAUAGUCAGCAUGUUGGCCUGAAGCUCUGGAGCUGGUCAGGAACCUAGGUUGUCUUUGAAUAGUCAGCAUGUUGGCCUGAAGGUCUGGAGCUGGUCAGGUCUUUGAGCUCUCUUAAAGCUUUCUCUUUGUCAUUGUAGCUGGACUCAAACCUAAGAGUGCACAAAUGGCACCAUAUUCUAGUAGUAGUGCACUACUCAUUUCGCCCCAGUCAAUAGUAGUGCACUAUAAAGGGAAUAGGGUACCAGCCCUGGUCAAUAGUAGUGCUCUAAAUAGGGAAUAGGGUGCAGGCCCUGGUCAAUAGUAGUGCUCUAUAUAGGGAAUAGGGUAUCAGCCCUGGUCAAUAGUAGUGCUCUAUAUAGGGAAUAGGGUGCCAGCCCUGGUAGUGCUCUAUAUAGGGAAUAGGGUACCAGUCCUGGUCAAUAGUAGUGCUCUAUAUAGGGAAUAGGGUGCCAGCCCCGGUCAAUAGUAGUGCACUAUAUAGGGAAUAGGGUGCCAGCCCUGGUCAAUAGUAGUGCUCUAUAUAGGGAAUAGGGUGCCAGCCCUGGUCAAUAGUAGUGCUCUAUAUAGGAAAUAGGGUGCCAGCCCUGGUCAAUAGUAGUGCUCUAUAUAGGGAAUAGGGUGCCAGCCCUGGUCAAUAGUAGUGCUCUAUAUAGGGAAUAGGGUACCAGCACGGGUCAAUAGUAGUGCACUAUAUAGGGAACAGGGUGCCAGCCCUGGUCAAUAGUAGUGCUCUAUAUAGGGAAUAGGGUACCAUUUGGGACACAUAUUUAUCUUACAGGGAGAGAUAUUUUUAUGAAGAUAACUUUGAUCAUGCUGGUCAUGUUUCUCAACAUCGCUGCGGGACAGUUUGUUUGUUUUAGAUCUUGUGAAUUUUCUUAAAGAAACGUUUAUUGAAGUAGAUAGAAAAUGCC